rnacentral:rRNA from 1 species
AUUGAACGCUGGCGGCAUGCCUUACACAUGCAAGUCGAACGGCAGCGCGGGAGCUUGCUCCUGGCGGCGAGUGGCGAACGGGUGAGUAAUACAUCGGAACGUACCCAGAAGUGGGGGAUAACGUAGCGAAAGUUACGCUAAUACCGCAUAUUCUGUGAGCAGGAAAGUGGGGGAUCGCAAGACCUCACGCUUUUGGAGCGGCCGAUGUCGGAUUAGCUAGUUGGUGAGGUAAAGGCCUACCAAGGCGACGAUCCGUAGCGGGUCUGAGAGGAUGAUCCGCAACACUGGAACUGAGACACGGCCCAGACUCCUACGGGAGGCAGCAGUGGGGAAUUUUGGACGAUGGGGGCAACCCUGAUCCAGCCAUGCCGCGUGAGUGAAGAAGGCCUUCGGGUUGUAAAGCUCUUUCGCGAGGGAAGAAAGCGCACUGGUUAAUACCUGGUGUGGAUGACGGUACCUUGAUAAGAAGCACCGGCUAACUACGUGCCAGCCGCCGCCGUAA